UGUGUGUGUGUGUGUGUGUAGUUGUGGGAUUUCAGACAUGUGCUGUUUGGCUUCUGGUGAACUGAACUCAGAUUUCUCAUGCUUGCACAGUAUCCCUUUUCCUCAUCGAGCCACCUCCUAGCUCAAGUGCACAGAGCUUUAUUCACUACACAACACAUGUUUCAUAAAGGCUUGUUCUUGUAAUUGCACGAUUAGGAUGUAAUGAGAAUGCAAAGAAGUUGUUUCUUUAAUGUUUUAUCUUGGACUAUGGAAACAUAUCAGAGGCAUGUUUUCCAACUCUUUUCACAGCCCUAUCCAUAUGCAGUUUUGAAGUUUAUAUGUAGUCCCUUGACCCUUUCACUUCAACAGAAAUCAUCUUGUGGCAUCAAAAAUGAUGGCAUAACAAUGUAACACUGCUUCUAAUUUAUGUCUGUUGUUACAUUUUGCAGAAUAAGAUACUUUGUUGUGAGUAGGAGUUCAUGCCCAUCAGUACUGUAAAAACAUAUUUCACCUUGUUGUCUACCAACCCGAGGAUGUUUUCAAUUACUGUGAUAAGUCAUUGAAGAUUUUGUUGUCCCAAACAUGUUGUUGUCAUUGCAUAAGCACAAAACACAACACAGAGUGAGAAAUAAAAACAUUCUGACACCCUUCAAAAUUCACUUAAUCUUCAUUUUUUAUUCACAUUGGUUAUAAAAACCUGCUGCUAGAGGGGGAAAUUAUUAUCAGAGAUAUUAUAUGUUUAGUAAUUACUUAGGCUUAUAAAAUCUUCCCUUGCCCAUAGGUCUAGUCAAACAUAAAACAGGUUUAUUUUAAUUUUGACAUUGUGUUUUAAAACGUCAUCAUUUACAGCUUGCACUUCAGGACCUUUCCUACUACAAGAAGGUUUUCAAAGACGUUGACAUACUGUGUCAGCCGUAUUAGAGCUUGAGAUCUACCAUCAUGGGAAAAUAAAACUAAAGCAGAAAAACACUGUGAUGUUUGUGACUGGAUAACAUAGUUAAGACACAUGAAAUCAGAGCUCAAAAACAUUGUUUCAAGCUCACACAUCUGUACCAAGGGUUCUGACCUAGUCAUACUCCUAAGCACUGAUUUUUGCCUUCCUCAACUGCUAUGCUCUAACUUAGCAGAUGUGAAGGCAGGGAAAACUUUCUUGGAUAACUCCUAAUGCUUAAUUUACGUUUUAGAAACUCCAAUCCCACUCUAUUUACAUUAUUGGGAAAUCUAUGAAACCAAACAUCCCCUGUAAUAGAUUUCACAGUUUUAGCUUUGACCCAUUAGAAUGUAGUGAGUGGGUCACCUCCCCCCUCUUGCUUUGAAGCAGGUACAGUGUUUUCCUUGUUUCUGUGGUUCAGGGGAGAGGCCGAGGAUGACUUUUUUUGUGCCAGCUAUGGGAUCAGGUGCUAGAGGGUCAGGGAUAAACCAAGAAAGAUGAACCCACUGGCAGAAAACAGGAGAGAAAGGUUAGCAAAUAAUCUUCAACCCACAUUCUAAACUCUGCAAGCUUCACUGGCAAAUCUAGGGAUACUGUAUUUUAUUUGCUAACUCGGAAAAAAGAUUUAAAAAAAAAGGAAGGAAAAGGAGACUUCAGUAGCCAACAGGGCUCAAAAUGUAUUUGCAUAUUCCUCCGCCUCCCAGGCUGCAUACAAAGUAAAUGUGUAAUUACAUUUAGAUGCCACAGCUGCUUGGAGACUCAUUCUUCACAGCUAUCUAUUUGUGAAGUUCGAAAGUUUUAUAAGGAAACCUUGAAAUCAAAAAAGUAAAUAUUUUGAAAGAGGGUUACAAUUUGUCAGCAGCAAUCCUUUUCUCAAUAGGCAAAAGAAGGCAGAUCUUAGUAGAUCAGAGAAUUGUAGCAUUUAAAAAAUAAUAAUAGCACCACCUUGAAAUGCAAUCUACAGCGUCAUGUUUCUAUGGAUUCCUCUAUGCAUUCGAUUUCUUUGUCAUUUAUUAUAAUAAGAAGCAAAGUGGCCCAAAGCAGAAUUGUUUGCAGGAAGCAAGAGAGAUAUUCACAACAAGAAAUGUGACAACAUGUACAAACAUGGAUGAAUGAAAAAUAAUAUUAUUUAAGCAGCCUUCUGAGUCAUCUUCUUGUCAGAUAGUUUUGUAUAUUGAUAGCCAGAGGAUGAAAUUAUGGCUCCCGAGAUGUUAAAAUUAAUGUGUGCAUGCAUGUGCAUGUUAUUUUAAAGAAAUAAGAGACUAGGACCACAGUGCUGCCAUGCACAGAGGUAGAAAAACUUGUAAAUUAUCUAUUGUAUACAAUUCAAUGAUGGAAUGUAACAGUUUUCCAAGUUUUUUUUUUAUGCUACAGAGAAACUUCAUAAUGGGCACCACAUUAGACCUCCCUAACUUAUUGGUACCAUAGAAACAUCUGCUCCUUUCCUGUGUAUAUGAGGUGCUCCCAUGUGGGAUAGAACACUAAUUAGCCAGAAACUGAUCACUGGAGGUGCACACUAGUUACAGACAGUACACCCAGUACUGAAUGACAGCUGGACCACUCUUAGAAUAUGAACAACAUCUGAGAGAUGAGAGAUAUCUGGAGGGAUUAGCUUGAACUAAGAGAUUGAUGAAACCAACUUCAGAGUGACAGAUUGAGUCUCAAAGAAUAGGGCUUACAAAAGACAAAAGAAUGUAUUGUUUUGUGUUUUCAUCCUUAGCUUGUCAGUUACACUCAUAUAAAGCAGAGGGUCUAUGAACCAUCAAUGUGUCCACACACAGUCAAUAGUAGAUCCUAUUAUUUGUGCUAGCAUUAGGAUGAUUUCUCUUAUUAGACUAGCAUGACAUCGCUGGUGAUUGAGCUAUUUUUUGUGUUUCCAGAGAGAGAUUUUGACACAUGACUUUUUAAUUUUCAUCUAGAUCACCAUGAUUGUUUUUUUUUAUCAUACUUAACAUUUGAAUUGAUUGUAAGUCCUUUCCUCUAGAUUUACAUCUUGCUCCAGAAACUUGGAAGCAGACAUCUAAUUAUGUAUACUGUAAAGAAAUAUCCAUAACUGCAACAGAGGAAAUUGAUCAUAGGUCAUUUGAUCAGGAGGUGACAGCAGCAUUUCCUUAUGGCUGGGUGGUUUUUUGUUUGUUUGUUUGUUUGUUUUGUUUUGUUUUGUUUUUUAAAUACGUUGCUUUAAUGCUAUGACAUCAUCCUUGUAGAGCCCAGUCUUGGAGUAGUUUCAUUUUAUUUUCUACUAAGGGAAUCACUGAUCUUAAUGGACAGAUUAAUUAUCAGUUAUGUUUUGGAUAUAAAAAUGUUUUAAGACGAGGUAUGUAAGUGUAUAGGUAAGGGGGUAUGAGAGUGAGAGUAAGCUGUGGACUACAACUGGAAGACCAAGAAAAAGGAAUUGACAAAGGACAAGAAGGGCAAAAGGGCAAAUGUGACAUGAAAGAUCUCUAGGUAAAAGGUGGCACAGGCAAGGGUACAAUGCGGGGGGAGGAAGCAGGGAGGAGGAAGGAGAGACAGAAAUAAGAAAACAAAUUUUGUUUGCAAAUGUGUUAAGGAAGGGUAAUAUUUAUAUACUAGAUGGAAAUAAGAUGUAUGUUUUACUGAUAAUAAGCUGUGCAUUUUUAAGUUGGAGAAACUGAUAUUACCUUGAGUAAAAACUAAGCACCUAGAAUAUUUGAAAUAUAUCUUUGUGCUUCUUUAGGUUUACUUAAAUCAUCAUCACAGCAGAAACCCUGCUCCUUUCUGUCUUCUUAAUGGCAAUUGUCAUUUCUCAUUGGCAGGUUUCUCAUCGGCAGACCACUAAGCAACACAGCAUUUGGCCUGCAGUGCUGUGGUCCUCCCCCCCCCACUACCCACCAUUGCCCUGCCUUUCAUUACAACAGAGUCUAACCACUGAACAGAGUGACCUCCCUUUACCGUUCUAUUAAAGGCAGAUACAUGUGUUGGGUUUUUCAUUGAAAAGAAAAUCAAAUAGAAUCUUACACCAUGCUAAUUUCCUUGUUUGUUUAGUUUGUAUAGACAACUCUGAGGUGAUUUUGACAGAUAAAUUGUACUUUUAUUCUCAGUCAAUGCUCAAAGGCAGGGAUUUACAAACAUUUUCUCUAAACACCAGACUACAAAUGAGAUUUGCUGGACACAUAGCUUCCAGUGCAAUUACUCAGCUCUGCUAUUGCUUUACAAACAGACUUGCUAUUAUUGAAAAGAAUGUAUGGAUCUGGAUCUCAAUACAUCUUUAUUUUCUAGAUUAACUGGAUUGGGUUUGGUCCUUUGCCUACAGAGUGAGGAGCUUUGCAUUUGAGUAUAUGCAAUUAAUUGUAGCAGUCCUUGAAAAUAACCAAAUAUUUAAAAUAUAUAUCACCUGGCUUGCUGUUUGGGUGACAGAGAUCAAAGUCUAACCAUCCUGUUUCCAUAGCAAGCACUUUACUGACUGAGUGGUCCUUCGAGCUUUGAAUGACCAAUUUUUUUGCAUUUGUCAAUCUUUAAUUAUUUAAUUAAUUGAAUAAUUUACAUCCCAAACACUGCUCCCAUCCUAGACACCCUUCCAGAAUAUGACCCCAUCCUCCACUUCCCAAAUCUUAAUUUAUUGAAACUUUAUAUUCAUUUAUUUAGGGUGAGAACGUGAAUGUUAUGUGCUGCCUGUAGAGAUCAGAGGACAACUUGUGGGAAUACAGUCCUUUCUUGGAUGAUAUGGGUUCAGUGAGUCAACGACAAACCCUCAGACAUGGUGGCAAGCAUUUUCAAGCGUGGACCUAUAUCGCUAAUUACUAUUUGCCAUUUACUUUUGCCAUUGUUAACGUAGGUCUCACAUCUUCAUUUCUUAUUUUGAAGCACCAGCUAUUUAGCUUGUCCUAGCGGGGAUGCUGAGAAACCAUGGACUGCAGGAUUUAGAGAAAUUAUUUUAAAAUAAUUCUGGAGCAUAAGGAAAGCUUUCCUUAAAAAAUAGUUGGAAAUCUGUUAGCUGAUAUAGAAGGAGUGAGGGAACAGGAAAACUGGAGAGAUGUU
rnacentral:sRNA from 1 species